AUAUUUUGCAUUCAAAAAUUAAGCACAAACAUCAAAGGGUGAAUGUUUUUGGUGUCUUCAGAUGGAACCAACAGUAUCCCACACAGCUGAGAAGGCAAACUCGGCCUGCGUAGAUGGAGAAACAGGGUCUGGGCCAGCGGAGAGGUGAUGUCCUGUUGUCCUCGGGGCUGAGUGCUCAGGAACUGUCUGUGGCAUUGUAGAGAGAACCAUGAAGAUGAGAUGACUCAGUGAUCAGUGCCUGCAGGGAUCUUAGCAGCUGCGUCAUCUGUGCGGGCUCAGACCUUCUCCGCUGUUUGUGAAACCUGCUCCUGUGGAUGUCCUGCCAUACCUCAGAAGAGCUCCUGUGGGUACCCCGAUCUGGGGGAGCCAGGUCAGCUGAGGAAACAAGUCUGUUAAGAGCCCCAGAAAGUGGAAAUGGAGAAUCACAAGAUUCACAAGAUGAGAAUCACCUUUGCACAGGACAAGGGGAGAUCAUAGCGACUCCUCAGACCCAAAGCAGGCUGACAAGGAGGUAAAGCGGCUUUGCUUUUUUGUGGGACCCAAGUAUGCUCAGUGAGUGAGCUGAUUAUUUUCUGCUGAUUAGAGUGGAAAAAGAAAUGGCAUUUAUUUGUGGAAACAAACUUGCAGAAGCAGAGGUGAGCGGGAUUCUUCAGUGAGUGGGUCAUUGAUGCUGGCCUCAAGGCUUUCGGCCCGUCCUCGGUGACUCCCAGCUACAGGCAAGACCCAGCAGCAGAAGAACCCUGGGAACAGACUGUGUCCCCAGACCCUGGCUGCCUCCAGGGAUGUUCUUUCUAAUGCACCCAGAACACAAAUCACAUGGCUUCACCGUGACAGUUAUAAAUUUCAUCCACCAUGGAGAGUUGGAGGCAGGCGAUUUGUUGGGUCCAAGUCAAAGGUUACAAAAGAAUUCUUCAGAUUUGGGUGAUUUCCACACCUAUUAGGUAAGUUUAAACAUAUCCUUUUGCUUCUAAGGAAAACAGCUUGUAAAAUACUUGGGAGCUCUGGGGACAUCAAACAGCUCUUCG
rnacentral:lncRNA from 1 species